rnacentral:miRNA from 1 species
UCAUUGAUUGGUUGAAAUUCA